CAGUAGCCACGGGAACACGUAGGGUGCAAGCGUUAAUCGGAAUUACUGGGCGUAAAGCGUGCGCAGGCGGUUUUGUAAGACAGAGGUGAAAUCCCCGGGCUCAACCUGGGAACUGCCUUUGUGACUGCAAGGCUAGAGUACGGCAGAGGGGGAUGGAAUUCCGCGUGUAGCAGUGAAAUGCGUAGAUAUGCGGAGGAACACCGAUGGCGAAGGCAAUCCCCUGGGCCUGUACUGACGCUCAUGCACGAAAGCGUGGGGAGCAAACAGGAUUAGAUACCCCCGUAGUCCCUGUCUCUUAUAC
rnacentral:rRNA from 1 species